AUCCUGCAAAAAACGGGCCUGGAGGGUGAAGUUGAGCCACAACAGGCCAAAAAAAAGUGGGACAACUUGAAAAAAAUUACAAAGAAUGCAAAGAUCCAGGGACAGGGCAGGGGUCAGUGGGAAGCCUACUGCUGCCACCUGGCCAUGGUUUAUCCUCAGGUUCUGUGUUGCUGUUAUUGUUAAAUUAAAUUAUUAAAGUGUUUAUAAAAGUUA